GAUGAACGCUGGCGGCGUGCCUAAUACAUGCAAGUCGAGCGAACGGACGAGAAGCUUGCUUCUCUGAUGUUAGCGGCGGACGGGUGAGUAACACGUGGAUAACCUACCUAUAAGACUGGGAUAACUUCGGGAAACCGGAGCUAAUACCGGAUAAUAUUUUGAACCGCAUGGUUCAAAAGUGAAAGACGGUCUUGCUGUCACUUAUAGAUGGAUCCGCGCUGCAUUAGCUAGUUGGUAAGGUAACGGCUUACCAAGGCAACGAUGCAUAGCCGACCUGAGAGGGUGAUCGGCCACACUGGAACUGAGACACGGUCCAGACUCCUACGGGAGGCAGCAGUAGGGAAUCUUCCGCAAUGGGCGAAAGCCUGACGGAGCAACGCCGCGUGAGUGAUGAAGGUCUUCGGAUCGUAAAACUCUGUUAUUAGGGAAGAACAUAUGUGUAAGUAACUGUGCACAUCUUGACGGUACCUAAUCAGAAAGCCACGGCUAACUACGUGCCAGCAGCCGCGGUAAUACGUAGGUGGCAAGCGUUAUCCGGAAUUAUUGGGCGUAAAGCGCGCGUAGGCGGUUUUUUAAGUCUGAUGUGAAAGCCCACGGCUCAACCGUGGAGGGUCAUUGGAAACUGGAAAACUUGAGUGCAGAAGAGGAAAGUGGAAUUCCAUGUGUAGCGGUGAAAUGCGCAGAGAUAUGGAGGAACACCAGUGGCGAAGGCGACUUUCUGGUCUGUAACUGACGCUGAUGUGCGAAAGCGUGGGGAUCAAACAGGAUUAGAUACCCUGGUAGUCCACGCCGUAAACGAUGAGUGCUAAGUGUUAGGGGGUUUCCGCCCCUUAGUGCUGCAGCUAACGCAUUAAGCACUCCGCCUGGGGAGUACGACCGCAAGGUUGAAACUCAAAGGAAUUGACGGGGACCCGCACAAGCGGUGGAGCAUGUGGUUUAAUUCGAAGCAACGCGAAGAACCUUACCAAAUCUUGACAUCCUUUGACAACUCUAGAGAUAGAGCCUUCCCCUUCGGGGGACAAGGUGACAGGUGGUGCAUGGUUGUCGUCAGCUCGUGUCGUGAGAUGUUGGGUUAAGUCCCGCAACGAGCGCAACCCUUAAGCUUAGUUGCCAUCAUUAAGUUGGGCACUCUAAGUUGACUGCCGGUGACAAACCGGAGGAAGGUGGGGAUGACGUCAAAUCAUCAUGCCCCUUAUGAUUUGGGCUACACACGUGCUACAAUGGACAAUACAAAGGGCAGCGAAACCGCGAGGUCAAGCAAAUCCCAUAAAGUUGUUCUCAGUUCGGAUUGUAGUCUGCAACUCGACUACAUGAAGCUGGAAUCGCUAGUAAUCGUAGAUCAGCAUGCUACGGUGAAUACGUUCCCGGGUCU
rnacentral:rRNA from 1 species